AUUGAACGCUGGCGGAAUGCUUUACACAUGCAAGUCGAACGGCAGCACGGACUUCGGUCUGGUGGCGAGUGGCGAACGGGUGAGUAACAUAUCGGAACGUAUCCAAUAAUGGGGGAUAACGAGUCGAAAGAUUCGCUAAUACCGCAUACGCCCUACGGGGGAAAGCUGGGGACCUUCGGGCCUGGCGUUAAUGGAGCGGCCGAUAUCUGAUUAGCUAGUUGGUGAGGUAAAGGCUCACCAAGGCGACGAUCAGUAGCUGGUCUGAGAGGACGACCAGCCACACUGGAACUGGGACACGGUCCAGACUCCUACGGGAGGCAGCAGUGGGGAAUUUUGGACAAUGGGCGCAAGCCUGAUCCAGCCAUUCCGCGUGAGUGAAGAAGGCCUUCGGGUCGUAAAGCUCUUUCGCAAGGGAAGAAAACUUAGCCACUAACAUUGGUUGAGGUUGACGGUACCUUGAUAAGAAGCACCGGCUAACUACGUGCCAGCAGCCGCGGUAA
rnacentral:rRNA from 1 species